CGGGCGCCUCGCCGGCCCCGGCCCUGCUGCCCUUGGCGGCCAUGAGGGCGCCGCGGGAGAGGCGCUCGCAGAGCCAGGCGAAGAGCAGCCCGAGCUGGAAGGCGACGAAGCGGAGCAGGGCGAAGGCGGCGAAGAGCGGAUGAAACAGUGCAGCACCGACGUGUGGGUAUGACAGGCCACCUCACUCCUGCGCCCCAGACCUGCAGGCAGCAGCCUGGGCUGCCCCAGAAGUACAGCGAGAGACUGUGAGCUGCUUCAGCGCACCAGCCCGCUUCCCCAGUUUAUAGCAAGAAACUUGGGGAGGUGGGGUGUGUUAACCAAAAGGAUAUGCCAAACUGAAAUCACUACUGUCCCCAGUGUUUCAUUGCCUUUUCCUAAAUUAGUAUGAAAGUAGUGGGUUUUUUCUUUUUUGCUUAUACCACAUAUAGUUACUUAUAGCACAGAAAGUUCCUCCUGGUGAUGUGUAUUGUUUUUCUUAAAUGACCGAGGAGUGUUUUUCUUGUCAAUGACAAACCCAGUAUUAGUUUUCUUACUGUAUAAAAUACAGAAUUUUAUUAACAUAUAAACAUCUAACAUAAAAGAACUAUUCAUGACCUUGAACCAUUAUUAGACAGAAACAAUAAACUUAUCAGCACCGGAAAAAAACGCA